rnacentral:lncRNA from 1 species
GAGAAGUGUUCCGGGGCGGCGUUCGUCGCCGGGCACGAUGGAGACGAGCAGUUCAGUCGAGAGAGAGAGGCGUGACUGAUAGUGGGGGGGUGAGUGACUGAAGCGUGAGUGUGUGUGCGUGACUGAUGGGGAUGAAGGGAAAUAGGAGUUGGGUGUUGGGCUAGGUUGGAGUUGGGCUGUUGGGCUUUUUUUUUUAUUUAUUUCAGUUGGGCUUUGAGUGGUGGGCCGAUUUAUGUUUUAAAUUUUCAGUUGGGCCAAUGUUUUUAUUUAAUUUCCUUGGGCCCUUAAUUUAUUCAUUGGGCUGUGCAGCUUCUCCAAUUAAAUGGACUGCACUAUUUUAAUUAAUUAGACUUAUUAAGUUUGAUUAAUU